GUGGCCGGUCACCAGCAAGAGAAAGAUUUCUGAGGUGGCCAUCCUGAAGGAAGAAAGGAUUUGGGAUGAAAAAGACCUAAUGGCCCCUUUUCAAAGAGAAGGUAACCUUUGAGACCAGGAAAGGGUCACCGGGUCCCAUCCCUGACCUGGAGCUUGUUAAUGAACCAAGACCUGGCAGGGCAGGCCAGUGGGUAGAGACACGAUGCUCACGGGUGCCUUUUCUCCCUUGCUCCCCUCCAAUCCUCAAAGGGCUCAAAGUCCAUUUUGUGACCAUAUGUUUAAAAAGUCUGUAUCCUCUUCUGGAGGCACGGUGUCCAAAACACUUAAUUCAGUAUUUUCAAUUAUCCAAUGACGUGGGUCAAAACUAAAUCGCUGGAUGUAAACAAAAGAACAAGGAAGCAGAAGAAAAGCUGUGGGUUGCAUUUAUUUUAUCAGCUAUAUACCUGGUGGACAACUAUCUGACUCUCUGGGUUUUCUGUACUUACUAAGCAAAACUAGUUCAAUGGUUUGCAUUUGUGUCUAAUCUCCACUGAAAAGUUUUUACGUGUCUAGGAGCACCCUAUAAAACACGUAUUGGGUUGCCAAAAUAUACCAACGUUGGGCUCGCUGGCUGACUAAAAAAAAAAAAAAAAAAAAAAAUCCUCAGGUAAAAUGCUGCUACUUUCUUA